UGCCUAAACCGUCGGGGAAACCCGCGGCAUGGCGUAAAACCGAUGAGAGUAUAAAGCUCCUAGUCAGAGCACUCUCAUCGGUCAUAUCUCGAAAGGGAUAUGGGUGGCCGCAAGGCCAUC
rnacentral:sRNA from 12 species